AAAAGAUAUAAAACUUCAAAAUAGAUAUAAUAAUUUCCAAUACGCCGUCUAGUCAAAUCCCUAAAUUUGGUGUCAUAUUUACAUGAGCUACAAACUAAUAUACUACAACCAAGUUUUGAAAUAAUAAUAAUACAACUGUUUGAAUGAAAUAUCAAUGCAAGAAAUAAGAAGGGGACUUCAGGGACUGCGAACGCUGUGCAACUCUACUUCAACUCUCCAUGUAAGAAAGUCCGAGCGAGUCUCCACUAACCGAUAUUGGGACCAACAUCAGAAUCUGUACAAGAAGUUCAGAAGAAUAGUAUUAGUACAACUGACACCAUGUACUUCGUAAGUGCCGAGCCUAACCUUGACGAAGUAUUGACGAGGCUAUAACAAGGCACUCACUAUAAACAUGUACGAGUAUAAGUAAAAACAAUAGCAUAAAUAGAGGAAACAACAGUUAACAUAAAAAUCGGAACAAUAAAUACACAAUAGAGGGCCCCAGAAUAACAGCUAUGCUCAAUUUACAGUACAACAUAGAUAUAGAACAACAAUCAAGAACAAUCGUAACAUGUCUUCUCCGUUGCGGCGCAACAACAUAUAUAUAUACCGUUGCAGCAUGCAACCUGAUCCCAAACAGUAAUACCAAUAUCCGUUGUGGCAUGCAACCCGAUCCUUAAUAAUGUCAAUAUCCGUUGCGGCGUGCAACCCGAUCCUACACAAUAAUACCAAUAUCUGUUGGGACGUGCAAUACGAUCUCACACAAUAAUACCAAUAUUUAUUGCGAUAUGUAACCCGAUCCCAAACAAUAUAAAAUAAAUGUACAAACUACAACCAACUACGGCGUAUCUCAGAAUAAAACGCAAUAAGGGAAUUUUAUAAUUAAAUACAUAAAGCGGAUAAAAGUAGCUAUUUAAUAACACACAAUGUCAUAAAGCAAGUAAAGACAGUCAAUAAAUAAAGGCACGGAUACAUAAAAACAAAUAGCAAAUUAAGGCAUGUAGCGAAAUAAAGGCAUGAAUUUAACAAGUAAGGGCAAGUAACAAUUAAAGCAUUUAACAAGUAAUAAGGAUUAAAUGACGGCAUGAAAUAAUUGAGAACAACAAAUAAAUAUCCCAACCCACAUGCCUAACCCAUGACUAUGUAUAUACACUCGUCACCUUGCAUAUACGAUGUCCCACACAUAAAUCAAUUAGAAAAUAGUCCAAUCAAGUCUUAAUUCCCUCAAGUCAAGGUUAACCACGACACUUACCUCUUUUCCGCGACCAAAUCAAUGAUCAAUCACAACUUUUCCUUUAGAAUAAGACUCCAAACCAAUCAAAUUUAGCCAAAUAUAGUUCAAACAAUUCAAAAUAAGCUUUAGAAACUACCCACGAGUGAAAAAGAUUCAAUCUUUAGUGAAAUUGGAAAAAGUCAACAAAAGUCAACCCCGGGCCCGUUUGGUCAAAAUCCGAGAUUCGGAAUAAAACUCGAUUACCCAUUCACCCCUAGGUCCGGUUAUGUAAUUUGUUUCAAAAUCGAAUCUCAAUUCAAGGUCUAAAUCUCAAUUUCUUCCAACUCCUAAAUUCUACCCAAAAUCUCUAAUUUCUACUUUGAAAUCACUAAUUUAAAGUUAAAUAUCAAUGGGUGAUUAUGGAAUUAGAUCAAAAUUAGUAGAAAAAUACUUACCAAUGAAGUAGGGAUAAAAAUCUCUUCAAAAACUUCUCUGGUCCGAGCUCUAGGUUUCAAAAAUGGUGUAGAAUGACAAAAUCCUGAGUUAAGAGUUUUUAUAUAAUUGGGUGUCACGUGUUCUUCGCAUUCGUGAAGCACUUACCGCGUUCACGAAGCACACAAGCCAUUUGGCUUUCACGUUUGCGAAGGCAUCACUCAGUCAAGCCCUUGCGUUCGAGACCAAAGGGUCGCAUUCGCGAUGAAGAACUCCACCAGCUAUCCCAAAGCUACGCGUUCGCGAAGGUCAGUCCCCCCUCCCCCCCCCCCCAAGCCCUCGCGUUCCUGAUCAACCUCUCGCAUUCGGGAACAGUACCAGCCCCAGCCCAAAAUUUUUCCGUUCGCAAUCGCGAGAGUGGCUUCGCGAAGUGAUCAUGAAGCACUGUGCACCAGCAAAAAAACCAGUAAUUCAACAAGUCCAAAAAUAGUCCGAAACCAAUCUAAAACUCACCCGAGCCCCCCGGGCUCCAAUCCGAACAUGCACACAAGUGUAAUAACAUCAUAUAAACUCGCUCAUUACCUCAAAUAAUCAAAAUACAUCAAAUAACAUGAAUCGAUCAAAACUCAAAAUUUCAACCUGAAAACUCAUUUUUCACAAUCUUUCAUAUAAUGCGCUAAAACACGCUCGGGUCACCCCGAACUCCAACUAAACAUGCGUACAAGUCCAAAAAUAUCAUACGAACCUACCGGAAUCCUCAAAACCGCGAUCCGAGUACGUUUACUAAGAACGUUGACCAUGCUCAACUCAAGUUGUUUUUAAAGCCAAAAUCACAUUUUCUUUAAAGUUUCACAUAAAAACUUUCCGAAUAAUAACAGGGACCACGCAUGCAAGUCAUAUACAUUAAUUAAAGUUAUGAAAGGUCUCGAAACACAAAUAUAAAGGCUAGUACUUAAAACGACCUAUCGGAUAGUUACAAUAUGUAAUUGCUUUAUUAUAAACGUCGAAAAAGUUGGUGACGCUAUAUUUUUGGGAAAAGAUCUGUUAAGUGUCCAGAUAUUCGUUUUCUUUUCUUUCAACUGAAAUUUCUCUGAACGGAUAUUCUUAUUAAACAUCCUCAUACUACUUAUGCCUUCAUCAAUAACAUCAUGUUUCACUGUGAGAAUUAACACCGAGGAGGAUAAUCUUUUAUUUGUAAGCCUUGAUAUAAAAUUAUAACUUGUGUAUUGUUUGGUUGGUUGCACUACAAGAAAAACGGCCUUUAAAGAAAGGAAAUCUAGUGCCUAAAGAUCCAAAUCUGGUCCUAAUAGAGCAAUUGCGACGGGAAAAAGUUGGUCGCAAUCCGUCAUAAUAGCUUUUGCCGCUAAAGGGCAACAACGACAAGUUCAGAAACCUGGUCGUUAAAUGUUUUAAGAGACGGACAAAAAAUCUAGUUUAGAGACUACAUAUCUCGCCACAGUAGACGAUUAAUAUAUUAUGGAAAACAGACUCACAUUAACUACUACUAUUAGAUAAUAAUAACAGUAUCGCCCGUUGAUCUCUUCAAUAACUGAGACAAAACCUCAAUUUUAAAGCAAAAAUUAAGAUAUCGGAACCUAAGAUUAGUAAAAAAAAAACAAUAAUUUUUCCCAGUCUUGAACCUUUCCUCAAGACGAGCUUUAGCUCCUAAGUAGCAGUAGCCUUCUUAUCAUGAAACUGAAGAACAUCUACACUAACAACAUCCUUCAGAUCUACAUCGAGUGUAUAACGAGUCGGCAUAAUGUGAUUGUAAUUAACGAGCUUAAUAAAAGCCUUAAUCCAUGAUUUCUUCGCUUGUUUUUUGGCUGAAUCUAUUCGAAUUACUUUUUUCGGGUAUUUGCUUAUAUCUGUAACUAAACAAUGGCCGUAUGGUCUAUCUCUUAUUCCUUCAUCGAAUGCACGAAAAUUAAAUCUCAAAACUCAAAACAUAAAAUUAAAUCUGCAAUUCAUGAAAUAAUUUGCUUUUUCAAAAUUGAUAUACACUUUGUAUGAAACAUAAUAUUCAACACACAAUACGCUACAAACUUGAACACUUCAGAGAAAUCAAUUAUCGAAUUAGGAAUCCCAACUCAAUAAUCUUUCCAUUGACUAUACAGAUAAAAAACCCGAAAUUGUGAAACCUUUUCCAAUUUAAUGUUAGAGAAGAAGAAGAAGAAGUCGAAUAAAGCGAAGCAAUAAAGCGAAUUACAACUUAGAGAAGAAAAAGAGCAACUCAGAAGAGGAGUAGGGGCAGCCCCACGAAUUUUGUGGCCUAAAGCCAAAUUUUAUGAGGGGCCUUAAUUUUUUAUUAAAUUAUUAUUUUUAUUUGAAAUUCAUUUUUUUAGUUUAUUUUUUAGAUGCAAAGUUAUUAAUAAUUUUUUUAUAAUCAAUUUUUUUCUAAUAAUUCUUUCUCAAUUGACAAUAUAGUUCAUUUAUUUAACCUCUCUUCAGACAUUAUUGAACUUAGUUAAGAUUUUAUCAAUUUUAAUUUCGAAAAACUUCUUUUUGCUGAAGCAACGGUAACAUGAGUUAUUAACAUUAUUCUAUAAGCAAUAUAGGCAUUUGGAAAAGAAUCAAAUCUUUUUAUUUGAUUGAGUAUGUCAAUUAAACUAUUAUCUUCUAAAAGGGCAGCCCGAUGCACUAAGCUCCCGCUAUGCGCGAGGUCCGGGAAAGGGCCAGACCACAAGCAUCUAUUGUACGCAACCAUACCCUGCAUUUUAGCAAGAGGCUGUUUCCACGGCUCGAACCCGUGACCUCCUGGUCACAUGGUAGCAACUUUACCAGUUACGCCAAGGCUUCCAUUCAAAACUAUUAUCUUCUAAUUGUACUAUUUUCCUUAACAUUUUUAAUUUAGAAAAUAAAUCUAAACCAUCAAUAUCAGAUCGAUUAUUAUGCUUUAAGGAACACUCAAGAUUAAGGCAGUAUUUUUCCAAUUUUCCAUUAUCUGGUGAUCUCAGUUUUUUGCGCUAAAUAGAAAAUAGAAAAUAUUUUCAUAUGCUUCGAAUUGUUCAAAUCUAUUUUAAAGUGAAAAGAUAGUCUUGUUUACUAUGUAUAAAUAGUAAUUAACUCUGAAGGACUCUUCAAGAGAUUUCAAUAUCAAUAUUCACGUCAAAUUAUUUUUUUUCUAUAUAUCACACGUUACUUACAAAGUUCGAGUUUGAUUUUCAUUUCAGAUGCAAUUUUCUUGAUAGAAAUCAUACCAGUAGUAAAUUCUUUUACCCCUUAAGCUUUUAAGACACAAGUUUUAAAUUUUUUUUUUUUUUAAAAAUUUCGUGACGAGUCAAACAACCACAUCUAAAUUGAAACAUAGAGAGUAUAUAAUAUAAUAAGUGUAAUAAAAAAGAAGUUACUUUACCUGCUUUAGGGUAGGGCCGCCCCUGAAGAUCAGGCAUACAUGGGAUUCGCAAACGAGCGAGGUUGAAAACUGGAUAGACCUGCGAUUCACAAACCAACAAAUUCGCAAUCUUUGUUUUGAGAAAACACAGAUUUUGAGUUGUCAAUAGAGAGCUAGGCAGAAGACUAUGCGUGGAUGUGGAGAGACUAGGGCAGAACUGGGGAUUUUGUUUUGGGAAAACAGAGAGAAUCUUUUAAUUUUUGGAAUUUUUAAUUUUAGGAUAUUAG
rnacentral:lncRNA from 1 species